rnacentral:rRNA from 1 species
CACGUAGGGCGCAAGCGUUGUCCGGAAUUAUUGGGCGUAAAGAGCUCGUAGGCGGUCUGUUGCGUCCGCUGUGAAAACUCGGGGCUUAACCCCGAGCCUGCAGUGGAUACGGGCAGACUAGAGGUAGGUAGGGGAGAAUGGAAUUCCCGGUGUAGCGGUGAAAUGCGCAGAUAUCGGGAGGAACACCGGUGGCGAAGGCAGGUCUCUGGGCCACUACUGACGCUGAGACGCGAAAGCGUGGGGAGCGAACAGG